UUGUCCAGGCAAAUCCGGAUAAUCAAGGCUGAGGUGUGAUGACGAGGCACUACGGUGCUGAAGUAACAAAUGCCCUGCUUCCAGGAAAAGCCUCUAAGCAUCAGGUAACAUCAAAUCGUACCCCAAACCGACACAGGUGGUCAGGUAGAGAAUACCAAGGCGCUUGAGAGAACUCGGGUGAAGGAACUAGGCAAAAUGGUGCCGUAACUUCGGGAGAAGGCACGCUGGUGUGUAGGUGAAGUCCCUGCGGAUGGAGCUGAGACCAGUCGAAGAUACCAGCUGGCUGCAACUGUUUAUUAAAAACACAGCACUGUGCAAACACGAAAGUGGACGUAUACGGUGUGACGCCUGCCCG
rnacentral:rRNA from 1 species